GACGAACGCUGGCGGCGUGCCUAAUACAUGCAAGUCGAGCGGAGUUAGAGAAGCUUGCUUCUCUAACUUAGCGGCGGACGGGUGAGUAACACGUGGGCAAUCUGCCCGUAAGACUGGGAUAACUCCGGGAAACCGGGGCUAAUACCGGAUAAUCCUGACUCUCUCCUGAGAGUCAGUUGAAAGAUGGUUUCGGCUAUCACUUACGGAUGAGCCCGCGGCGCAUUAGCUAGUUGGUAGGGUAAUGGCUUACCAAGGCGACGAUGCGUAGCCGACCUGAGAGGGUGAUCGGCCACACUGGGACUGAGACACGGCCCAGACUCCUACGGGAGGCAGCAGUAGGGAAUCUUCCACAAUGGACGAAAGUCUGAUGGAGCAACGCCGCGUGAGUGAAGAAGGUUUUCGGAUCGUAAAACUCUGUUGUAAGGGAAGAACACGUACGAGAGUAACUGCUCGUACCUUGACGGUACCUUAUUAGAAAGCCACGGCUAACUACGUG
rnacentral:rRNA from 1 species